GGCAUUUUACCUCAGCGCGGAGCGGUGUCCCCAGGCCAGCGGGGGGCAUCUGCGCUCCCGGCUCGGCCCCGCCGGUGCCUCGGCGCAGGGUAGGGAGCUGCGGCCGGGGGCGAGCGCCCCUUGCUCACAGCCCAGCGCUCCCGCCGAAGCUGGCCAUUGCAGUCUCUGUAAUGGCACUUCCAGGGGUGAGUUCCUGCUUGCGGCGUUAAUUCCUCCAGAUGACUUGGGAUGAGUCUGACUAACUGCAAGUACAGAUUUCAAGAAUAGCAUCUCCUGCUGUUUCUUGAAUGGAGAAGCCAAAAGAAUUGUGACUCACGGUGAUUUGCAGCCCAAUAGCAGAUCAAGGAAACUUAAGGCUUAUGUCUGUAAAGUGGACUCUGGCUGUCAGGGGAGAGGUAUCUUCAUCACCAAAUCUGUGAAGGACAAAAAAGCAGGACAGGAUAUGAUCUGCCAGCUCCGUGCCUCAAGGGUGAAUCAUUCUUCAAAAGAAGCAAAGAAGGAGACUGAUAGUAGGGAAUACAGCAUUCUGCAACAAAACCAGCCAAGGAUAAGUGAAAAGAAAAGCAUAAAACACUGCAGCUCCCUGCUAGACUCAGCUGCUAUCUUGGAUGACUGUAACUCUAAUGCAGACUCAAUCCAGAUCAUGCGGCCUUAAGCAAGCCUCUACUCUGCGGUGCUGUUUAUCUAUAGAAGAGAGGAUCUCUCAGAUUUUGGGAGACAGUGUUCUUCAUCAAGAGCUGACAGAACCAUUUUGUUGUUUCUUUUUCUUAAAUAUAUUCCUUGGCAAUUGCUAGUGUGAAACAUCCAUCAAUAGAUGACCAGUGAAAUUUGCCUUAAAAAAAAAAAAAAAAGUCAAGAGUUUAUGGGUGUCCUGAUGUGGAACUGUUGUACUGGAACUUGAUGUAUACAUGCUUACUAUGGUAGUAUCCAAUUACUGCCACCUCUUCUUUCUUCUUCAAUGAAAAAUCCUUUGUUAAGAAUGCUAGUGUGGUCUAUUCAGCAGAAUAUAGCUAGUGAGUAAAUAAAGUUCUCUGUACUGACUUCAGCUGAAUAACUGUAUCCUUGCACCACAUCUUGGAAUUUUCCUCUUCACGAGGCAAGAUACUUUUAAAAUAAGUAUAUAUGUUUAUGACUCUUCAUAAGACUGUAAAGAAUGUAAAAAUAAAUACUUUAAUGUGGUA